CACGUGGGGUGCAAGCGUUGUUCGGAAUUACUGGGCGUAAAGGGCUCGUAGGCGGCCAAUUAAGUCAGACGUGAAAUCCCUCGGCUUAACCGGGGAACUGCGUCUGAUACUGGAUGGCUUGAGGUUGGGAGAGGGAUGCGGAAUUCCAGGUGUAGCGGUGAAAUGCGUAGAUAUCUGGAGGAACACCGGUGGCGAAGGCGGCAUCCUGGACCAAUUCUGACGCUGAGUGAGCGAAAGCCAGGGGAGCAAACAGG
rnacentral:rRNA from 1 species